rnacentral:rRNA from 1 species
ACUCCUACGGGAGGCAGCAGUGGGGAAUAUUGCACAAUGGGGGAAACCCUGAUGCAGCCAUGCCGCGUGUGUGAAGAAGGCCUUCGGGUUGUAAAGCACUUUCAGUAGGGAGGAAGUAGUGUAGUUAACACCUGCACUAUUUGACGUUACCUACAGAAGAAGCACCGGCUAACUCCGUGCCAGCAGCCGCGGUAAUACGGAGGGUGCGAGCGUUAAUCGGAAUUACUGGGCGUAAAGCGCAUGCAGGCGGCCUGUUAAGUCAGAUGUGAAAGCCCGGGGCUUAACCUCGGAAAUUGCAUUUGAAAACUGGCAGUAGCAUGAAGUCUUGUAGAGGGGGGUAGAAUUUGCAGGUGUAGCGGUGAAAUGCGUAGAGAUCUGAAGGAAUACCAGUGGCGAAGGCGGCCCCCUGGCACAAAGACUGACGCUCAGAUGCGAAAGCGUGGGGAGCAAACAGGAAUUAGAUGACCCU